rnacentral:rRNA from 1 species
AUUGAACGCUGGCGGCAGGCCUAACACAUGCAAGUCGAACGGUAACAGGAAGAAGCUUGCUUCUUUGCUGACGAGUGGCGGACGGGUGAGUAAUGUCUGGGAAACUGCCUGAUGGAGGGGGAUAACUACUGGAAACGGUAGCUAAUACCGCAUAACGUCGCAAGACCAAAGAGGGGGACCUUCGGGCCUCUUGCCAUCGGAUGUGCCCAGAUGGGAUUAGCUAGUAGGUGGGGUAACGGCUCACCUAGGCGACGAUCCCUAGCUGGUCUGAGAGGAUGACGAGACACGCUGGAACUGAGGCACGGUACGGACGCCUACGGGAGGCAGCAGUGGGGAAUAUGGGAGAAUGGGCGCAAGCGUGAUCAUGCCAUGCAGGGGGGGGGAAGAAGGCCUUGGGGUUGUAUAGCCCUGUUGUCGGGAAAGAAAAGAAGAAGGUGAACACCCCGCUGUUCUGACGGUACCCAAAGAAUAAGCACCGGCUAAAUUCGGG